UUGAGGCCCCCACUUCUCCCUGCCUUCUCACACUGGUCUUUGCGAACUAAACCAGUAUUGGCAUAAAAUCUGGAAGCUCAACGAGUUUUUCUUACAUAGAACUAAAUUAGCGUUUAAUGCACCAAAUCACAGAACUCUUAAAACAUCCCCUUCUCGUCAUCGGUUGCGCUUUGUAUACCCAGACAGGAAAAACCUUCUGAACCACACCCACUAGCUAGUGCUUGGCGGCCUCGCCCCCUUUCCCAUAUACACCAAUCGGGGAGUCAGAGGAAUGAGGCGUCUAUCCCAGAAACUGCCGCUGGGAAGCACCGCCUCUUUUUCGCCUGAGUGACGCAAGCGAAGGCGCCGCGGCUCCGUUUGGUUUCCGACGCUGCUCAAGAUCUUACACCUGUUGGGAUAUUUUUUUACCAGUCUAGGACGGAGCUGAACCGUGCGAAAACGGGACGUGUUCCGGAAAAUACAGAUUUAUGAGUACCAAUGCAGAAAUAGGGAAUGAAAACAAAACCAUGAUGAUCAACACCAGCACAGGGCCAAUAGAAACUUCUAUCAAGCCUUUGCCUUUUAAAGCUCCAAGCUUUAUUGUAUGUAUUUUUUUUUCUACCAGUGUUACAUUUUUCUUGAGACAAUUAUAUUAUUUUUCUGAUCUACAGUUAGUUUAGCCACGAAAUGUGGAAUCCACUUAGGUAUUUGAUUGUGUAAUUCCAUAUUUCUCUUUCACUCUUUCUCCCCUGUGCUUUUUAUUGCUUUCUUUCUAAUCUCUCUCCCAUCUUCCUGUUCUUUAUUUAAAUACUUAUCUUACUUGUUUAGCUUAUACUUGAGAUGUACAGUUAGCCAAUAACUUCAAUGAAAACAGUGAUAUUAAAACAGUGAUUUUUUUUACUGUUUACAGUGAAUUAAUACAGUGAUAAAAUGGUGUUCACUUAGUAUGGGGUUCUUGAGUCCCAAGAGAUUUAGAAUAUAGAGAACUUUCAAUUGAAGGUGAUCAGAAACCAAAAUAGUGAGUACAGUUAUACAUUCCACAGAAAAAUGACUUUAGCCAAGAUUUUGUCUUGGCUGUUGGUAGACUAUGGAUUAACUGUGUCAUUAUAAAGAAAUGCAGAGCUGACCUUGGGGAAAGUACAAGAGAGCUAUUAAGGAGGGAAGGAAGGAGCUGGUAAAAGAGAUUAUACAAUCCCAAAAUAAUCCUAUCUUGGUUUUGAGACAAAGAGAAACUUGGAUGGGCUUUUAAGAUUCUAUUAUUCUAUCUUACCAC